UGAGGAAUAUUGGGCAAUGCCCGCAAGGGUGACCCAGCAACGCCGCGUGGAGGAUGAAUGUCGUAAGAUUGUAAACUCCUGUUAGAGGGGAAGAAUAGUACCGGUUGGACCGGUAUAUGACUGUACCCUCAGAGAAAGCCCCGGCUAACUACGUUCCAGCAGCCGCGGUAAUACGUAGGGGGCAAGCGUUGUCCGGAUUUACUGGGUGUAAAGGGCGCGCAGGCGGGAUAAAAAGUCAGUGGUGAAAUCCUACAGCUUAACUGUAGAACUGCCUUUGAGACUUUUAUUCUUGAGUUCGGGAGAGAGAGACAGAAUUCCAGGGGUAGUGGUGAAAUACGUAGAUAUCUGGAAGAACACCAGUGGCGAAGGCGGUCUCUUGGUCCGACACUGACGCUGAGGCGCGAAAGCGUGGG
rnacentral:rRNA from 1 species